GUGUCCUUAGUUCAGCGGAAGAACAGAUGUCUUCUAAACAUCAGGUCCGGGGUUCGAAUCCCCGAGGGCACACUA
rnacentral:tRNA from 1 species